GCCCUCUUAGGGCAGUAGGCAGCACGUUAGUCUCAUAAUAAUCUGAAGGUCCUGAGUUCAAGCCUCAGAGAGGGCA